UACGAAGGGUGCAAGCGUUACUCGGAAUUACUGGGCGUAAAGCGUGCGUAGGUGGUUCGUUAAGUCUGAUGUGAAAGCCCUGGGCUCAACCUGGGAAUGGCAUUGGAUACUGGCGACCUAGAGUGCGGUAGAGGGUGGCGGAAUUCCCGGUGUAGCAGUGAAAUGCGUAGAUAUCGGGAGGAACACCGGUGGCGAAGGCGGCGACCUGGGUCGAGACUGACGCUGAGGCGCGAAAGCGUGGGGAGCAAACAGG
rnacentral:rRNA from 1 species